UAUUUCCGCGACACUCUCUCCUCCACCCACCACAGACGGAACAGGUCCGAGCCUUUUCAAAAUGGCUUCCAACGGUGUGGAUGGUGAAACGAACGCCGAUCGUAACGUCGAAAUAUGGAAGAUAAAGAAGCUGAUCAAAAGCCUGGAGGCGGCUAGGGGAAAUGGCACAAGCAUGAUUUCCCUGAUUAUUCCUCCCAAGGAUCAAAUUUCUCGAGUUGCUAAGAUGUUAGCCGAUGAGUUUGGCACAGCUUCUAACAUAAAGAGUCGAGUAAACCGGCUAUCUGUGCUGGGUGCCAUUACAUCAGUACAACAGAGACUAAAGUUAUAUAACAAAGUGCCUCCUAAUGGUUUAGUCAUCUAUUGUGGAACCAUUGUUACAGACGAAGGAAAAGAGAAAAAAGUUAAUAUUGAUUUUGAACCGUUCCGACCUAUAAAUACUUCGCUCUACCUCUGUGACAACAAAUUUCACACGGAAGCUUUAACAGCACUUUUGGCAGAUGAUAAUAAGUUUGGUUUUAUUGUGAUGGAUGGUAACGGAGCCUUAUUUGGAACCUUAUCUGGAAAUACACGAGAAGUACUUCAUAAAUUUACAGUUGAUUUACCAAAGAAACACGGUCGUGGUGGACAAUCAGCAUUGCGGUUCGCUCGAUUACGAAUGGAGAAACGUCACAACUAUGUACGAAAAGUUGCUGAGGUGGCAGUUCAGUUAUUCAUUACCAAUGACAAGCCCAAUAUUUCAGGACUUGUGUUGGCUGGUUCUGCAGAUUUUAAAACGGAACUUAGUCAAUCAGAUAUGUUUGAUCCAAGAUUACAAGGCAAAAUUAUCAAGAUAGUUGAUGUUUCCUAUGGAGGAGAGAAUGGUUUUAAUCAAGCAAUUGAACUAGCAUCAGAUGCUUUAGCGAAUGUUAAAUUUAUUCAAGAAAAGAAAUUGAUAGGCAGGUAUUUUGAUGAGAUAUCUCAGGAUACAGGCAAAUAUUGUUUUGGUGUUGAUGACACCUUAAAAGCUUUAGAAAUGGGUGCUGUUGACAUUCUGAUCGUCUGGGAAAAUCUUGAUAUUACAAGAUAUAUCUUGAAGAACCAUUCCACAGAUGAGGAGAAAAUCUUGCAUUUGAGGCCAGAGCAGGAAAAAGACAAAACACACUUCAUGGAAAAAGAAGAGGUGUUGAGUGCAUUGAAGUCUCCCCAAUGAUGGUGUUUGUGAGAGUGUUAAAGUGCUGUAGCUGGUUGGGGUGCAACCUGGUGGGACAGUUGGUGAGGUUGGUAGUGACGGGAGUUGAGUUGGAAUUAGUGGACCAAAUGCCUCUUCUUGAAUGGUUUGCAAAUAAUUACAAAAACUUUGGUAAGA
rnacentral:misc_RNA from 1 species